rnacentral:rRNA from 1 species
AUGGCAAAUCGAGCCAACUCUACCCCUGAGCUGUUCACCGGCCAAGUAAUUAUGGAUCCGCGCCCCAACUCAUCUGGUACAUCGUCCAUCAAUACCGCUCCAUCGUCUCUAAGGCCCCUAACUAUUAAGAUGCUGCUUGAUUCUUUCUUCGAGGACACUGAACGCUAUCCAUUAAUCAUCGACGGCAUGCCAGUGUCAUCGGUGGAUCUGAUAGGCAUGGUCAGAAACAAAUCACUCAGCAUGGAUCACUGCACGUUCGACCUAUAUGAUGGCACUGGGUCCGUUAAUGUAUACUUCUGGUUUGAUGGCCGUCAAGACUCCAAGGAUGCUUGGUCGUUCAACGAAGGCAUGUAUGUACGUGUUGUUGGGAGGGCUACCAGUUUGGAGCAAUUUUUCCAAAUCAAAGCCUACAUGGUCAGGACCGUAAAGAACUUCAAUGAUAUAACCCAUCACUUUAUCUACUGCAUCAAGGCCCAUAUCGAUAUUUCUAAGCAGAGCAGACUAAAGCUUCAGGAAAAUUCCGUUGCCACCCCGUCAGCAUCAACCGUCAUGCCAAGGUAUCAGAUUGCUCCGAGCCAGAUACCAGAAGAUUGCAGCUUUGAGGAUAAGAUAUUUUCCAUUUUGCGCGACCCAGCAUACCGUGACAUGGAUCAUGGGGUAAGUCUAAAGCUGCUUCGCAGCGCACUUGGCGCAAGUCAAGACGAUAUCAUGAAAGUAAUAAUAGAGCAAAUCCGACUCGGUGAGAUGUACACUACUAUCGGUGAACGCCAUUUCAAGUCUUCAAACUGA